rnacentral:rRNA from 1 species
UACGUAGGGGGCAAGCGUUGUCCGGAUUUAUUGGGCGUAAAGAGCGUGUAGGCGGCCAUGUAGGUCCGUUGUGAAAACUCGAGGCUCAACCUCGAGACGCCGAUGGAAACCAUGUGGCUAGAGUCCGGAAGAGGAGAGUGGAAUUCCUGGUGUAGCGGUGAAAUGCGUAGAUAUCUGGAGGAACACCGGUGGCGAAGGCGGCAUCCUGGGCCGGUAUUGACGCUGAGGAGCGAAAGCCAGGGGAGCAAACGGG